rnacentral:rRNA from 1 species
UACGGAGGGGGCUAGCGUUGUUCGGAAUUUACUGGGCGUAAAGCGCGCGUAGGCGGACCUGCAAGUCCCGUUGUGAAAGUCAAAGGCUCAACCUUUGAAAGCCGAUGGAUACUGCAGGGCUAGAGUCCGGAAGAGGCGAGUGGAAUUCCUGGUGUAGCGGUGGAAUGCGCAGAUAUCAGGAGGAACACCAAUAGCGAAGGCAGCUCGCUGGACGGUACUGACGCUAAGGCGCGAAAGCGAUGGGGAGCGAACGAGGA